rnacentral:rRNA from 1 species
UACGUUCCCGGGCUUGUACACACCGCCCGUCACACCACGAAAGUCGGCAACACCCGAAGCCGGUGGCCUAACCCGUAAGGGGAGGAGCCAUCGAAGGUGGGGUCGGUGAUUGGGGUG